AGAGUUUGAUCCUGGCUCAGAUUGAACGCUGGCGGCAGGCCUAACACAUGCAAGUCGAGCGGAUGAGGGGAGCUUGCUUCCUGAUUCAGCGGCGGACGGGUGAGUAAUGCCUAGGAAUCUGCCUGGUAGUGGGGGACAACGUUUCGAAAGGAACGCUAAUACCGCAUACGUCCUACGGGGGAAAGUGGGGGAUCUUCGGACCUCACGCUAUCAGAUGAGCCUAGGUCGGAUUAGCUAGUAGGUGAGGUAAUGGCUCACCUAGGCGACGAUCCGUAACUGGUCUGAGAGGAUGAUCAGUCACACUGGAACUGAGACACGGUCCAGACUCCUACGGGAGGCAGCAGUGGGGAAUAUUGGACAAUGGGCGAAAGCCUGAUCCAGCCAUGCCGCGUGUGUGAAGAAGGUCUUCGGAUUGUAAAGCACUUUAAGUUGGGAGGAAGGGCAGUAAGUUAAUACCUUGCUGUUUUGACGUUACCAACAGAAUAAGCACCGGCUAACUUCGUGCCAGCAGCCGCGGUAAUACGAAGGGUGCAAGCGUUAAUCGGAAUUACUGGGCGUAAAGCGCGCGUAGGUGGUUGGUAAGAAGGGAAUGUGAAAUCCCCGGGCUCAACCUGGGAACUGCAUCCCUAACUGCCUGACUAGGGUACGGUAGA
rnacentral:rRNA from 1 species